rnacentral:tRNA from 1 species
GUCCUAGUAGCUCAGCUGGAUAGAGCAUGGCACUUCUAAUGCCAGGGUCGGGAGCCUGAAUUUCCGGGACGCCA